rnacentral:rRNA from 1 species
CGAAGGGGGCUAGCGUUGCUCGGAUUUACUGGGCGUAAAGGGCGCGUAGGCGGACAGUUUAGUCAGAGGUGAAAGCCCAGGGCUCAACCUUGGAAUUGCCUUUGAUACUGGCUGUCUUGAGUACGGGAGAGGUGAGUGGAACUCCGAGUGUAGAGGUGAAAUUCGUAGAUAUUCGGAAGAACACCAGUGGCGAAGGCGACACACUGGCCCGUUACUGACGCUGAGGCGCGAAAGCGUGGGGAGCAAACAGGAUUAGAUACCCUGGUAGUCCACGCUGUAAACGAUGAGUGCUAGUUGUCGGGCGGCAUGCCGUUCGGUGACGCAGCUAACGCAUUAAGCACUCCGCCUGGGGAGUACGGUCGCAAGAUUA